rnacentral:tRNA from 1 species
GGGCAGAUGGCCGAGUGGUCUAAGGCGCUAGCUUUAGGUUCUUCUCUGUAACUCUCUUUAAUCAGAGUAAUGGAAUCGCUAGUCUUCGGGCGUGGGUUCAAAUCCCACUCUGCUCA